UACGUAGGCAGCAAGCGUUGUUCGGAAUUACUGGGCGUAAAGAGUGUGUAGGUGGUGUCGUAAGUUUGGUGUGAAAUCUCCCGGCUUAACUGGGAGGGUGCGCCGAAGACUGCGAUGCUGGAGUAUGGGAGAGGAAAGCGGAAUUCCUGGUGUAGCGGUGAAAUGCGUAGAUAUCGUAAGGAAGACCAGUGGCGAAGGCGGGUCUCUGGACAGUUCCUGACGCUGAGGCACGAAGGUCAGGGGAGCAAACGGG
rnacentral:rRNA from 1 species